rnacentral:rRNA from 2 species
UGGGGAAUAUUGGGCAAUGGGCGAAAGCCUGACCCAGCAACGCCGCGUGAAGGAAGAAGGUCUUCGGAUUGUAAACUUUUGUCUUAUGGGAAGAUAAUGACGGUACCAUAGGAGGAAGCCACGACUAACUACGUGCCAGCAGUCGCGGUAAUACGUAGGUGGCGAGCGUUAUCCGGAAUUAUUGGGUGUAAAGGGUGCGUAGGCGGGACGUAAAGUCAGAUGUGAAAUGCCGUGGCUUAACCACGGAGCUGCAUUUGAAACUUAUGUUCUUGAGUAGAGUAGAGGCAAAUGGAAUUCCCAGUGUAGCGGUGAAAUGCGUAGAUAUUGGGAGGAACACCAGUGGCGAAGGCGAUUUGCUGGGCUUUUACUGACGCUGAGGCACGAAAGUGUGGGGAGCAAACAGG